UACGUAGGGUGCAAGCGUUAAUCGGAAUUACUGGGCGUAAAGGGUGCGUAGGCGGUUCGUUAAGUCUGUCGUGAAAUCCCCGGGCUCAACCUGGGAAUGGCGAUGGAUACUGGCGAGCUAGAGUAUGUCAGAGGAUGGUGGAAUUCCCGGUGUAGCGGUGAAAUGCGUAGAGAUCGGGAGGAACAUCAGUGGCGAAGGCGGCCAUCUGGGACAACACUGACGCUGAAGCACGAAAGCGUGGGGAGCAAACAGG
rnacentral:rRNA from 1 species